rnacentral:rRNA from 1 species
AGAGUUUGAUCCUGGCUCAGGAUGAACGCUAGCGGCAGGCUUAACACAUGCAAGUCGAGGGGCAGCAUUGGUACUUGUACCAGAUGGCGACCAGCGCACGGGUGAGUAACGCGUAUGCAACCUACCUUUUACAGGGGAAUAGGCAGAAGAAAUUCUGAUUAAUACCCCAUAAUAUUUCAGAUCAGCAUUGAUUUGGGAUUAAAGUUUCGGCGGUAAAAGAUGGGCAUGCGUUUUAUUAGUUAGUUGGUAAGGUAACGGCUUACCAAGACUACGAUAAAUAGGGGUCCUGAGAGGGAGAUCCCCCACACUGGUACUGAGACACGGACCAGACUCCUACGGGAGGCAGCAGUGAGGAAUAUUGGACAAUGGAGGAGACUCUGAUCCAGCCAUGCCGCGUGCAGGAAGACGGUCCUAUGGAUUGUAAACUGCUUUUAUACAGGAAGAAACCUUCUCACGUGUGAGAAGCUGACGGUACUGUAAGAAUAAGCACCGGCUAACUCCGUGCCAGCAGCCGCGGUAAUACGGAGGGUGCAAGCGUUAUCCGGAAUCAUUGGGUUUAAAGGGUCCGUAGGCGGAUUAUUAAGUCAGAGGUGAAAUCCCACAGCUCAACUGUGGAACUGCCUUUGAUACUGGUAGUCUUGAGUUAUAAGGAAGUAGAUAGAAUGUGUAGUGUAGCGGUGAAAUGCAUAGAUAUUACAC